rnacentral:lncRNA from 1 species
UCCUAUUCUCUCGCAGGCCGGUUUUUCUUCCGCCUCUCUGGGGAUUUUCGCGUUGGUUCUCCCUGCCCCCAGGAGUGAGGCGGGUAACGCCCACGCCUACCUCCGGUGCUGGGGGAAAAGAUUACUUCCCAGAUGCAGUAUUUACAUCUCCUCCGCCCUACUCUUCCAACUCUGCCUGAAAUAAGUGUGGUUCUCCUGUCUGUCAGACUAUGAAGAGUUCUCAAAUAUGUCUUUCCCAGCGAGGGAGAGGAGACAACAGAAACUUCAGCCUCCACGAUCGAUGUUUCUCAAGUGUCAAGGAAAAUGGAGCCUAGGAGGGCAGCCCCACAAGCAGCGUGAUGGGCAUUUAAGCCGACGCAUGUGCCAGGUCCUAGAACAGAGUAACUUCCCCAUCUCAACACAAUAAAAUGGUG